rnacentral:rRNA from 1 species
GAUGAACGCUGGCGGCGUGCCUAAUACAUGCAAGUCGAGCGAACAGACGAGGAGCUUGCUCCUCUGACGUUAGCGGCGGACGGGUGAGUAACACGUGGAUAACCUACCUAUAAGACUGGGAUAACUUCGGGAAACCGGAGCUAAUACCGGAUAAUAUAUUGAACCGCAUGGUUCAAUAGUGAAAGACGGUUUUGCUGUCACUUAUAGAUGGAUCCGCGCCGCAUUAGCUAGUUGGUAAGGUAACGGCUUACCAAGGCAACGAUGCGUAGCCGACCUGAGAGGGUGAUCGGCUACACUGGAACUGAGACACGGUCCAGACUCCUACAGGAGGAAGCAGUAGGGAAUCUUCCGCAAUGGGCGAAAGCCUGACGGAGCAACGCCGCGUGAGUGAUGAAGGUCCUCGGAUCGUAAAACUCUGUUAGCAGGGAAGAACAAAUGUGUAAGUAACUAUGCACGUCUUGACGGUACCUAAUCAGAAAGCCACGGCUAACUACGUG